UGUCUGCCUGGAGGACUGGUCUG
rnacentral:misc_RNA from 1 species